rnacentral:rRNA from 1 species
UGAGGGACGAAUAAGAUCUGGAGGAAAUGCCAGAUCGAUGACGGUACCUCACGAGAAAGCCCCGGCUAACUACGUGCCAGCAGCCGCGGUAAUACGUAGGGGGCGAGCGUUACCCGGAUUCACUGGGCGUAAAGGGGGCGCAGGCGAUCCAGUAUGUCGGGUGUGAAAUCCCACAGCUCAACUGUGGAAUUGCGCCCGAAACUACUGGGUUUGGGGCUGGUAGAGGGAGACGGAACUGCUGGUGUAGGGGUGAAAUCCGUAGAUAUCAGCAGGAACGCCGGUGGGGAAGCCGGUCUCCUGGGCCAAGCCCGACGCUGAGGCCCGAAAGCUAGGGGAGCAAACCGGAU